rnacentral:rRNA from 1 species
AAACGGAAGCCCGAAGAUGGGCACUAGACAAGGGCCCAGGUCCUACGGGGCGCAGCAGUCGCGAAAACUUUGCAAUACACGAAAGUGUGACAGGGUCAUCCCGAGUGCCGACCGCUAGGUUGGCUUUUACCCAGUCUAGAAAGCUGGGGGAAUAAGGAGAGGGCAAGUCUGGUGUCAGCCGCCGCGGUAAUACCAGCUCUCCGAGUGGUGUGGACGUUUAUUGGGCCUAAAGCAUCCGUAGCUGGCUGAACAAGUCCCCUGUUAAACCCACCGAUUUAAUCGUUGGUCUGCGGGGGAUACUGCUCAGCUAGGGGACGAGAGAGGCAGACGGUAUUCCCGGGGUAGGGGUGAAAUCCUAUAAUCCCGAGAAGACCACCAGUGGCGAAGGCUGUCUGCUAGAGCGCGCCCGACGGUGAGGGAUGAAAGCUGGGGGAGCGAACCGGAUUAGAUACCCGGGUAGUCCCAGCUGUAAACGAUGCAGACUAGGUGUUUGGACGGCCACGUGCCGUUCUAGUGCCGCAGGGAAGCUGUUAAGUCUGCCGCCUGGGGAGUACGAUCGCAAGGUUGAAACUUAAAGGAAUUGGCGGGGGAGCACCACAAGGGGUGAAGCUUGCGGUUUAAUUGGAUUCAACGCCGGA